UAAUCUGAUGUUAUUAGCUACAUUACCUUCUAUAUUUAGUAGAUUUGAUAACUUUAUUUAGUGUUCAAUAUUUGUUUUAGGGUUUAUUUUAUGUUUUUUUUUGGAUUUUGAAUUGAAAUUGAAUGUUAUUUUUUGGGCUGUUUUAGUCCUUUUUUUGGGACUUUUAAUUCUUUAUUUAGACACUUCAUGUUGAUAGGGAAAAGGAAUAAGGGACAAUGUACUGUUGAAUUGAUUUGCCACUCCAUACUGUUGAAAUGGUGAUAAGAAUGAGUAAAUGGAUCAAUACAUUAUAUCAUUUGGGCUUAAGACACUUGGGUUUUGACUUGAUGGCUUAAGCAAUAGAUUUGAUUGGAUUUACGGGUUUGAAAUCUGUGGAUCCAAAGCACAUUUGUUGCUUAUCAAAUAUUAAACUAGCUUAAAUUGUCAAUUCUCAUUCUUUACAUCCAGGGAUUACUAAGUCCACUUUUUACUUUCUAUUGAUUUAAGACUUACGAAUUCUUCAAUUCGAAUAUUUUAUGCAAGCAUAUAACCAGAUUUUGCUUUAAUGUUAUAGUUCUAGAAAUUUAUUAUCUCAAAUCCAAGCAAUGACUGAUCAAAAUUAGAAUUUGAAUGCUAUCAAAGUGAACAAUUUCAAGAAUCAGAUCAACUUCUUCUCCUUACCAAGGAUGAAAUAUCUGUGCAUUUUACGUGGUAUUUAUUUGUGAUUGGUAAUACCUUUUUAUAACGGGUUACUAGAGCAAUCUAUUCAAUAUGUAGAUAUAACAAUAACCUAUUUAUGGAUAUCUUUUUGCAAACAAAAUGGCGUUUAUCGCUUAACUAGGCAGCUUUCAAACAAGACAAAACUCAUACACAUGGACAAAGUUCAGUUGAAACAGGAAAACCAAUCACACCUACAGAUCUACACUCAGUAACUCAGGAUGUGAGAAUGGGGAUGGCUAGGUGCUCAGAUUUUUCCAUCCACCAUUUGAAUGAUUGUCAGAAGUUCAUGGGAGGACGUUCGGAGUGUGGACUUUUCUAACCUGCACUCUUUGCUAUCUUUGUGCAUUUAACCUAAAUGACAGGCCUUUGUAUUUGGCAACCUUGUUAUCGUUCGUCUAUGCAUUCGGUCAUUUCUUGACAGAGUUCUUGAUCUAUCAGACAAUGGAAAUAAAAAAUCUGGUCACCAUUGGUAUAUUUGCAGGUUUUACAUACUAGUACUAUUCACCAUGUACUAACGUCCCUUUUGCUCGGGGCCUGCACUUCACGGUGUAGAUACGGGUUUUCAGGAGCAUACACCUGCGCAAUAGGAUCACUUCAGUUAUCAGCUUAUUGGACCUGCUGCAGCAACCUGUUAUGCUUUUUAUCAACCAAGAAGCAAAACGAAGUGGGAUAAAUCCCCAAAGUAUUGAUGAACCUAGUCCCUUGGAUUCUUUUGAAGGGAGCGGGGCUCUUCUAAAUAUUGUCCUAGAUCAGAAGCAGUCAAAUGUGGACAGGUGGUAUUGUCUCCUUGUUGAUGUCUUUUAGUUAGUUUCCUUGAAGUCUUAUUAACUUCCUGCGUUUCAACCACAACCCUUCAUGGUUUUCUGAUUGGUGGAAGAAAGUAGAGAAUGCUGUACAAGGUUUGCACCUCGACGUAUCGAGAGAUACUGAUUUGUCUAGGGUUGUAAAAGGGGUUGCAAGUGUCAUCAAGGAUGGUCAGGGCUUCAAGUCUUCAUGCCUGUUAUAUCUGGAUGAGUGGAAGCAACUCAGGCAAACAAUUGAGGAAGUAUGUGUUACUGCUAGAGACUAUGUUGAUGUUUGGGCGGAUGCAAGCAAGAAAAUGGGGAAGAGAAGAGUAUUCUCAGAGUUUUUGAAGCUCUUGGACACCGAACAUUGACCUUUUUGAUUAAUGUGCUUUUGGAUUCUAAUUCUGCUAUGUUUAAAUGGAUAUGUAUAUUAUGUUUAAGGGUUUGAACGUAGUUUUAAUUUGAACUACAAGUUCUUUUAAUUUUAAGAUGUUUAAGUGUUUGAACGUAGUUUAUGAUGUUUAAGUGUUUAAAUGGACAAUGUUUAAGUGUUCAAGUGUUUGAACAUUGUU